rnacentral:lncRNA from 1 species
ACUGCCCCAUGUAAGUUAUGGCUGAUCCAUUUGUUGGCUAAGCAAAAAGAUGGAUUUAAGUGUUCUUGGAGGCCACCACCAUUACAGAUUCAUGAAUUGACAAUAACAUGCCCUGAGGACACUGGGAAAGAGUGGAGGUCUUCUUUAUUGAUGAAAAAAUGCCAGGCUCACCCAGACUGAGCUGAACCACCACCAUUUGAUCUGGAAAGAACACAUGCUCAAGGGACCAGGCCACUCCCUGAUUUUUUGCUCUGCUUUA